GGGGACGAAAAGGCUUCGACGGGUAUAGGUCGUUCCGAGAAGCGAGUCGAGGCUUCGCAACCUCGUUAAAAAGCGAACACAUAAAUAUAAACGCAGAAGAAAAUUACGCUUUAGCUGCCUAAGCGCAGCUCGCCCACUUUUUGAUGCCGAGUCUCAUGAAUUAGUUGGGUGUCAUUAAAAGGACUCUUACAUUUAUACUUUCUCAUUGGAGUAUUUAUGGAAAUUUUACAAUGAUAGGAUUUUUAUUUUUUGUUCAUGAAAGAUAUUAAUCUGAAAUCUUAAACAUGAACUGCGCUCGGAGAAGUCGGUGCGGCUUAUGUUCGGACGCGGGUUCGAUUCCCGCCGUCUCCACCA
rnacentral:tmRNA from 1 species